AGGGACUGCAUUUUCCACCCUUCCAGCUGUGGAAGGGUCAGGGUUAGCAUUAGCAUUAGGGUUAGGGUUAGGGUUAGAGUUAGUGUUAGGGUUAGAGUUAGGGGUAGGGUUUGGGUUAGAGUUUGGGCCAGGGUUAGGGAUAGUGUUAGGGAUAGGGUUAGGGUUAGCAUUAGCAUUAGGGUUAGGGAUAGGGUUAGAGUUAGGGAUAGAGAUAGGGUUAGUGUUAGGUUUAAGGGUUAGAGAUAGGGAUAGGGUUAGGGUUUGGGCUAGGGUUAGGGAUAGGGAUAGGGAUAGGGUUAGCGUUAGGGCUAGAGAUAGAGAUACAUAGAGAUAGAGAUAGAGAUAGAGAUAGAGAUAGAGAUAGAGAUAGAGAUAGAGAUAGAGAUAGAGAUAGAGAUAGAGAUAGAGGUAGAGGUAGAGGUAGAGAUAGGGACAGGGACAGGGACAGGGACAGGGACAGGGAUAGGGAUAGGGAUAGGGAUAGGGAUAGGGAUAGGGAUAGGGAUAGGGAUAGGGAUAGGGAUAGGGAUAGGGUUAGGGCUCAGGUUAGCAUUCCAUGCUGAUUGCUGCUUCAUUUAUUUUUUGUUCUUUUUCACUGAGCUGCAUAGGACUACAGUUGACUUCCACAGCAGUGGUGGCUCUAUCGCAGGUUGCUCCAUUAGAUGGCCCUACAGGUUUGCUACCUCAGAGCAGUGUGACCAAAGCCCACGCAUGGCCUCCACUGUUGGCUGUCCCAGGCUGAGGAUCAGUCCCACUCACAACAUUCCAACUCCUCUCUGUUUGGUCUUACAGGAAAAAGCACAUGCUUUCCAUCCUGUACAGUAAACAGAGCCUUAAUCCAGGC
rnacentral:lncRNA from 1 species